rnacentral:rRNA from 1 species
GACGAACGCUGGCGGCGUGCCUAAUACAUGCAAGUUGAGCGCUGAAGGUUGGUACUUGUACCAACUGGAUGAGCAGCGAACGGGUGAGUAACGCGUGGGUAAUCUGCCUUUGAGCGGGGGACAACAUUUGGAAACGAAUGCUAAUACCGCAUAAAAACUUUAAACACAAGUUUUAAGUUUGAAAGAUGCAAUUGCAUCACUCAAAGAUGAUCCCGCGUUGUAUUAGCUAGUUGGUGAGGUAAAGGCUCACCAAGGCGAUGAUACAUAGCCGACCUGAGAGGGUGAUCGGCCAAAUUGGGGCUGGGAAACAGCCCAAAAUCCAUCAGGAGGCAGCAGUAGGGAAUCUUCGGCAAUGGACGAAAGUCUGACCGAGCAACGCCGAGUGAGUGAAGAAGGACUUCGGAUCGUAAAACUCUGUUGGUAGAGAAGAACAUUGGUGAGAGUGGAAAGAUCAUCAAGUGACGGUAACAUCCCAGAAAGCGACGGCUAACUACGUG